UCAGUCGACUCCUACGGGGAGGCAGCAGUGGGGAAUAGUUGCACAAUGGGGGAAACCCUGAUGCAGCCAUGCCGCGUGUGUGAAGAAGGCCUUCGGGUUGUAAAGCACUUUCAGUUGUGAGGAAAAGUUGGUAGUUAAUACCUGCCAGCCGUGACGUUAACAACAGAAGAAGCACCGGCUAACUCCGUGCCAGCAGCCGCGGUAAUACGGAGGGUGCGAGCGUUAAUCGGAAUUACUGGGCGUAAAGCGCACGCAGGCGGUUUGUUAAGCUAGAUGUGAAAGACCCCGGGGCUCAACCUGGGAUGGUCAUUUAGAACUGGCAGACUAGAGUCUUGGAGAGGGGAGUGGAAUUCCAGGUGUAGCGGUGAAAUGCGUAGAUAUCUGGAGGAACAUCAGUGGCGAAGGCGACUCCCUGGCCAAAGACUGACGCUCAUGUGCGAAAGUGUGGGUAGCGAACAGGAUUAGAUACCCUGGUAG
rnacentral:rRNA from 1 species